AUUGAACGCUGGCGGCAGGCCUAACACAUGCAAGUCGAGCGGAGCGGCGGACGGGCGGGUAAUUCCCAGGAAUCUGCCUGGCAGUGGGGGAUAACGUCCGGAAAGGGGCGCUAAUACCGCAUACUAUCAGAUGAGCCUAGGUCGGAUUAGCUAGUUGGUGGGGUAAAGGCCUACCAAGGCGACGAUCCGUAACUGGUCUGAGAGGAUGAUCAGCCACACUGGAACUGAGACACGGUCCAGACUCCUACGGGAGGCAGCAGUGGGGAAUAUUGGGCAAUGGGCGAAAGUCUGAUCCAGCCAUGCCGAGUGUGUGAAGAAGGUUUUCGGAUUGUAAAGCACUUUAAGUUGGGAAGCGGUAUCUAAACAGUAAGCAACGGCUAACUUCGUGCCAGCAGCCGCGGUAAUAC
rnacentral:rRNA from 1 species